GGAUCCAAACCAGGGAACCCCGGGCUGCCGAAUCGUGUGUGCACUUAACUGCUGAGCCCCCGGGCGGGCCCGGAAUGCAUUGAGUUUUUAACUGAAAUAGGCACCAAGGCCAUAGACGAGAAUGACGAAGGAGGAGGAGGCUUUCAGAAGUCUGAGGAAAGAGGAAGUUGUGAUACGGUUGUCUCAGAAAGUGCACCCUGAGAGGGAAGCCUCAGGUUUCUGCAAGCUUUCCACAGAAAAUUCCAUGUUAAGAAACCUGGCCUUGGAAAACUCAAGAUUCUUGAUUUUAAGGCAAUGACCCUAGAAGUCUGGGCCCAAAUUAAAUUUCAAUGAAGACUCUCGCAGACUUUUCUCGUGGGAGAGGACUAUGUCAAGAUGGGAAAGAUGGGCACUUGGAGGGAGAAGCUGGACUGAAUACUUGAAUGAAAGCUGAGGACUCAGGAUGACUAAUAAACAUGAGCACGUGGACAAGGCCAAGGCCAUACCAGAAUGUCACUAGAUCUUCAUCAUCUGCUUGCACAAGAGCGAUCAUCCAAGAAUCGGCAAUUCUAUUGCUAAGCCUGAGAGGAUAAUGGUAUUAUCCCUGAAAUCCAUCAGUGUCUUCAGUCCAGACCCUCGAGUCUUCAGUCCAGAGAAAACACUGCAGCACAUCCAGCUUUGAAGAGUUCUAAAAUACUACAGAACUGCAGCAUAGUUAUAUAAUAUGAGUGAACACUUACCAUGAAAAAGAUUUUCCCCAGGCAGAAAGUGUACAAUUUUUUAACUGUAUUUAGAAAUCUUCAGCUUUUUAAAUUUGCUUGUUCCCCUUUGAGCAGCCAAAUUCGAAAGAGUGUCAGCAAAAAACAAAGCUUCCUUUAAAAAAAAAGUGUUACCAUACUGUCCUUGUUGUGAAAUACUUCAUCUUUUAAAAUAACCUGCAAAGAUUCAGCAUUAACAUCACAAUAUACAGAAAUGGACGAAUAGCACUUGAGUUAUUUUGCUAUCCAAGGAAAAGCACGUGAAUCUUUUCCUCUGAUGCCUUAGGCAGAUUACCACAUUUCAUGCCUUCUUAACAACUUAUUCCACAUCUGAGUCUGCUUUUUAAAUGUGUCGUUGAUAAGAGUCCUGGCUUAGAAGUCAGACUGCCCAGGAUCCAAAUUCCUGUCUGGUUCUUAAGCUGUGAGACUUUGAGUGAACUACAUGGUGCUCUGUCUGUUUCCAUACCUGUAAAGUGGGGUCAUAUGGUACCAACUUCACAGGAUUAUUGCAAGAAUUAAAUGAGGCACAACAUAGAAAGUGCUUAGCAUGGUGCCCGGCAUGCAGAGAAUGGUUAAGAAUAUCAUCUAUGAUUAAGGAUUGUUAUUGUCUCACUGGAGAAUGGAUGGACCAAUGAGAUUCUUUUGUUUCAAUGCUGUAGCAAACACCAAGCCUGCAUGGUUAUAAAACGUAGAUAUAGUGUCAGAGACAAACAGUCAUUGUCAACAAAACCAUCUGUCAGUGGAUUAAGCAAAUCCAAACAUAAGAGCCUUUUCUGUUUUCAAGGCACCAGGUAACAUACAUUAAUUAUGUGGACAGAAACAUCACAGGUACUAAGUCAACAUAAAUCAUCAUUUUGCAUUAA